UUCCACCCGGAGGGCCUCUAGCCGUGCGUACUGGGUGUUUCAGCCACCGCGGGAAUCGGCUGUGAUUUCAAAGACAGGUUCCAGCCUCCCUGUCUCACCUGGUCAUAUGUGUGAGGUCGGAGCUGAUGUGGCCCUGGAGGGGACUUCUCCGUCUCUCUGUGCUCUAAGAAAGGCCUGAAGAAGGUCUCAUGAUUUCCUUCUUCCCCAGUCCUGCCAUUCUUCCCCAAGAAGUAUCCUGAGCAGGAGGGGAAAAUUGUUGCUCAUCUAAAAGUACAGAUCAGGUGUUUAGGAGCAGGAAUGGGAUUGGAGGUCUGAGCGUGGACAUCUGUAUCAUCGUGGUCAAGAGUUUCUUCCAAGGAAUCAAUGGGUUGAGAUUUAUGUUUAUAAAGAGUUUGUCAAAAGGAAAAAAAUGUACAUAUGAGUAAAGUAAUAUUCAUUGUG